GAUGAACGCUAGCGACAGGCUUAACACAUGCAAGUCGAGGGGCAGCGAGGAAGUGCUUGCACUUUUGUCGGCGACCGGCGCACGGGUGAGUAACACGUAUGCAACCUGCCCUUGUCAGGGGGAUAAGCGGGGGAAACCCCGUCUAAUACCGCAUAUAUGAUUUGGAGGCAUCUUUAAAUCAGGAAAGAAUUAUCGGACAAGGAUGGGCAUGCGGGACAUUAGGUAGUUGGGGGUGUAACGGACCACCAAGCCGACGAUGUCUAGGGGUUCUGAGAGGAAGGUCCCCCACACUGGUACUGAGACACGGACCAGACUCCUACGGGAGGCAGCAGUGAGGAAUAUUGGUCAAUGGGCGAGAGCCUGAACCAGCCAAGUCGCGUGAGGGGACGACGGUACUAAGUAUUGUAAACCUCUUUAGUCGGGGAGCAAAAAGAGUGACGUGUCACUAAUUGAGCGUACCCGAAGAAUAAGCAUCGGCUAACUCCGUG
rnacentral:rRNA from 1 species